rnacentral:rRNA from 1 species
AACUCCUGUUUUAACGGUGUUGUCUGAGCUGCAAGCAACGAAUCAAAACUUUCAACAACGGAUCUCUUGGUUCUGGCAUCGAUGAAGAACGCAGCGAAAUGCGAUAAGUAGUGUGAAUUGCAGAAUUCAGUGAAUCAUCGAAUCUUUGAACGCACAUUGCGCCCCUUGGUAUCCCGAGGGGCAUGCCUGUUCGAGCGUCAUUUCACCACUCAAGCCCGGCUUGGUGUUGGGCGACGUCUCCUUUAGGGACGCGCCUCGAAACGCUCGGCGGCGUGGCACCGGCUUUAAGCGUAGCAGAAUCUUUCGCUUUGAAAGUCGGGGCCUCGUCUGCCGGAAGACCUACUCGUAAGGUUGACCUCGGAUCAGGUAGGGAUACCCGCUGAACUUAAGCAUAUCAAUAAGCG